rnacentral:tRNA from 1 species
GCAGAGGUAGCUUAACAGUUUAAAGCACAGCACUGAAAAUGCUCCAAAGUGGGUUAAAGUCCCCCCCUCAGCA